rnacentral:rRNA from 1 species
UGCUUCUAUGACGUUAGCGGCGGACGGGUGAGUAACACGUGGGCAACCUGCCUGUAAGACUGGGAUAACUUCGGGAAACCGAAGCUAAUACCGGAUAGGAUCUUCUCCUUCAUGGGAGAUGAUUGAAAGAUGGUUUCGGCUAUCACUUACAGAUGGGCCCGCGGUGCAUUAGCUAGUUGGUGAGGUAACGGCUCACCAAGGCCACGAUGCAUAGCCGACCUGAGAGGGUGAUCGGCCACACUGGGACUGAGACACGGCCCAGACUCCUACGGGAGGCAGCAGUAGGGAAUCUUCCGCAAUGGACGAAAGUCUGACGGAGCAACGCCGCGUGAGUGAUGAAGGCUUUCGGGUCGUAAAACUCUGUUGUUAGGGAAGAACAAGUACAAGAGUAACUGCUUGUACCUUGACGGUACCUAACCAGAAAGCCACGGCUAACUACGUGCCAGCAGCCGCGGUAAUACGUAGGUGGCAAGCGUUAUCCGGAAUUAUUGGGCGUAAAGCGCGCGCAGGCGGUUUCUUAAGUCUGAUGUG